AGCUCCUCGUCGCCAGGCGGAGGGCCACCGAGGGCGUCGAGCGCCGCAAGGAGCAGAUGCAGGCGCAGAUCGAGCGGGUGCUGCCGCUCUCCAGGGCCCUCGCCGCCGCGCACCGGCAAGUGCAGGUACCUGCCUGCCCGCCCGUUUCUUCCUCUCAACGCGAGACUGGAAUGCUUUGGCUAUUGUGGCUGCCUGCGUUUGGUCCAAUAGCAUCUGUCAAUAGCAAGGCAGGGGUCUGGAAGUGCAUGCCGUAGUAUAUACGGUGGAUUUGUGAAAUGGUGUAUGGAAAAAAUGAUGAUGGAAGUGACAGUAUGGCAGUACAGCUUGUUGACGAAUUGCAUUGGGAUGAUCUUGUUAUAAUCAUAGCAGUGGUCAGUUCAAAGCAGAAGGAAACCAGUAGCACCAGUGGGAUGCGGGACACUGUUGAAACAAGCCCCCUCUUGCAGUACAGGGCCCAGGUUAACUUGUGCAGAUAGCAACCAGUUUCAUGUUGUAUGUUUGGACACGAGUCCUCCCAUGUUCUACAUGAAUGAUACGUCACACAGGAUAAUUAGCCUUGUGGAGAAGUGGAACCACUCGGAAGGAACCCCACAGGUAUAUUCUGUUCCUGUUUAACACUUGCUACCUUGUUUUAAAUUCUUCUGACCUGCGUCAGUGCUGCAUAUAGGGUUCUAAAAUAGGGGAACAUAUAGUUCAGUUUGAAGAGUUCAUGAUGAAAACAUAUUCCCGCAGCCACUGCCUCCUCGAUCUACGCUAGCCUGGAGCAGCAAGGUGAAAUGUGGAGUAAGAGGAGACACCAGACCAAGAUGCAAUGAAUAUUUUGAUUCGUGGUGAUUGGGCAGAUGACUAUCAACACCAACUGCAGCAUCGUCCAUCUUGCGAGCAUACUACCAAGCUGCGCAGGGUUAAGGAGGAAUUCACCAAGAAAUAAAAACGGAGAAGAGGCCGUAAGUGCUACUACCAAUAGCCUCAAACAAGAAAAUGGAUACUUUCCGUGAUAAUCUGUGCAAUAUUUCAAAAGUUUUAGCAAGUGUCUAAUCAUAUAACGUGAAUAACAAAUUACUAUUAGUAUGAGCAAUGUGCAUGGUUCAGAAAAGAGUAAACAAUGUGAGUUACUAUUCUAUUACAGUGGAUAUCUUCUUUUUCCAGGCCUAAGCUUAAAGAACAAGUGAGGUAUUGUGACCAACACCCUGAGGAGAUUGACACACUUGUAGAAGUGAAGGCUCAGUUUUCAGAGACGAAGAAAUGCCGCAAAACUUCGAGAAGGUGCGUGUCUAUUGUACUUUCAGUCUGAUAGUGACUGAUUCCUAUGGGGUUAUUUCCGAAACUUUGUCCUGUUUGCUUAUUUCCUUACAAGUUGUAAUCUAACCUUGAACUGCUUAUCAAUAGCUGAGCUUCAGUUAAAACUACUACAAAAACGUAAGAAAACUCUUAAUAUUGUUGCUCGAUUUUGCAACUUCCAUCUCAACCUAAGCUCGUCAGACCCACUUAGAGUAUGCGAACUUCUACUGUUUGCAUUGGUGAUUGGCAUCACCGACAAUAGUUUUCUACUACAGAUCUUGAUCUAGCUGAAGCAGGGAGCAAUGCCUAGCUGUAGAUGUUGGCCCUUCUUUAUGAAGAUAAGUUUAGCCUUUAGGCAAAGCAAAAGUUAAAAAAUUAGUGCAAUUUCUUGAUUGUUUUAUUCUGCGUUCUUAUUCCAGUACAAUUUCAGAAAAUUAGUACCCAUUAUCUUUUAAAGGGGAGAUUCAUAACCAACCCAAAUUAGUGCCCCUUCAAAGUCACUUGGCGUUUUCUUCAAGUGGAUGGCGGAGGCGGCGGCAAUCACUCGAGGUGGCUGGGGCACCUCGGGCUGGGGGCUUUGCGCUGUGUCCAGGGCAGCUCCCUGGCCGUGCGGUGGCAACCGACAACCCCAUCGCUGGUGGUGCUGGCAAUGGUGUGCAUGGUGGCGGCCGCGGAU